rnacentral:rRNA from 1 species
AUUGAACGCUGGCGGAAUGCUUUACACAUGCAAGUCGAGCGGCAGCGCGGGGGCAACCCUGGCGGCGAGCGGCGAACGGGUGAGUAAUACAUCGGAACGUGUCCUUAAGUGGGGGAUAGCUCGGCGAAAGCCGGAUUAAUACCGCAUAAGCUCUGAGGAGGAAAGCGGGGGCUCCGUAAGGACCUCGCGCUGUUGGAGCGGCCGAUGUCGGAUUAGCUAGUUGGUGGGGUAAAGGCCCACCAAGGCGACGAUCCGUAGCUGGUCUGAGAGGAUGAUCAGCCACACUGGAACUGAGACACGGUCCAGACUCCUACGGGAGCAGCAGUGGGAAUUUUGGACAAUGGGGGCAACCCUGAUCCAGCCAUUCCGCGUGAGUGAAGAAGGCCUCGGUU